rnacentral:lncRNA from 1 species
GAUCGAAGCCCUGAGUCUGGCAUCAGAGCACUCACGGGGUGAGCUUGUAAAAUGAACACACUCCUUCAGCAGCUGUGGCGUCAUUAAUUCUCUGGCCCCAUCCUUGGUGAGGCCUCGGGCCCGAGGUCGGGCUCCUCUGACGGCCCUGGCAGGAGGCUUUUCAAGCUCCUAAUCCACUUGGCAGUUGUUUGAACUCUCAGAAAUUAUGCCUUCUCAUCUCGUCCUAAUGAACUCGUAAGCCCGGUUAACGCCAGAGGAGACAGUGCUUGUUCUUUCCGGCUGUGUCCGAGACAGAAGCUCAAGCCUUCCGAACACUCCUUUCCCUUUCUCUUCUGGGCCUCAGUUUCCCCGCCUGUGCAGUGGAGGCUCGGAGUCUCUGGCAUGGAAGGACUCUUCCAACUCAGACAUUCCAGAACAGGGACAGUGCCAUCCCCUACAAAUAGAAGGUGAGCCACGUGUGUCAUUUUAAAUUGCCUAAUAGCCG